UCGGGAAUUUUGGGCAAUGGGCGAAAGCCUGACCCAGCAACGCCGCGUGAGGGAUGAAGUAUUUCGGUAUGUAAACCUCGAAAGAAUGGGAAGAAUAAAUGACGGUACCAUUUAUAAGCUCCGGCUAACUACGUGCCAGCAGCCGCGGUAAUACGUAGGGAGCAAGCGUUGUUCGGAUUUACUGGGCGUAAAGGGCGCGUAGGCGGCGCGGUAAGUCACUUGUGAAAUCUCUGAGCUUAACUCAGAACGGCCAAGUGAUACUGCUGUGCUAGAGUGCGGAAGAGGCAACCGGAAUUCUUGGUGUAGCGGUGAAAUGCGUAGAUAUCAAGAGGAACACCUGAGGCGAAGGCGGGUUGCUGGGCCGACACUGACGCUGAUGCGCGAAAGCCAGGGGAGCAAAC
rnacentral:rRNA from 1 species